CGGGGGGCAGCAGUAGGGAAUCUUCGGCAAUGGACGAAAGUCUGACCGAGCAACGCCGCGUGAGUGAAGAAGGUUUUCGGAUCGUAAAACUCUGUUGUUAGAGAAGAACAAGGACGUUAGUAACUGAACGUCCCCUGACGGUAUCUAACCAGAAAGCCACGGCUAACUACGUGCCAGCAGCCGCGGUAAUACGUAGGUGGCAAGCGUUGUCCGGAUUUAUUGGGCGUAAAGCGAGCGCAGGCGGUUUCUUAAGUCUGAUGUGAAAGCCCCCGGCUCAACCGGGGAGGGUCAUUGGAAACUGGGAGACUUGAGUGCAGAAGAGGAGAGUGGAAUUCCAUGUGUAGCGGUGAAAUGCGUAGAUAUAUGGAGGAACACCAGUGGCGAAGGCGGCUCUCUGGUCUGUAACUGACGCUGAGGCUCGAAAGCGUGGGGAGCAAACAGGAUUAGAUACC
rnacentral:rRNA from 1 species